rnacentral:rRNA from 1 species
UACGAAGGGGGCUAGCGUUGCUCGGAAUCACUGGGCGUAAAGCGCACGUAGGCGGAUCUUUAAGUCAGGGGUGAAAUCCCGAGGCUCAACCUCGGAACUGCCCUUGAUACUGGGGAUCUCGAGUCCGGAAGAGGUUGGUGGAACUCCGAGUGUAGAGGUGAAAUUCGUAGAUAUUCGGAAGAACACCAGUGGCGAAGGCGGCCAACUGGUCCGGCACUGACGCUGAGGUGCGAAAGCGUGGGGAGCGAACAGG